AUCGCUUCUCGGCCUUUUGGCUAAGAUCAAAGUGUAGUAUCUGAUCUAUUCAGCUUAAUAUCUGAAAAUUCCUGCACUAUGUAACCAGUAUAUUAAACUGAUUUAUAUACUACGACGGGAUGUUCGAGGCUCGUUCCACUCCCGUCACGGGUCGGCUAAAUGUAUACUAAAUAACAUUAUACAUUUUAAGCCUCUGUUG